rnacentral:rRNA from 1 species
UACGAAGGGUGCAAGCGUUACUCGGAAUUACUGGGCGUAAAGCGUGCGUAGGUGGUGAGUUAAGUCUGUCGUGAAAGCCCCGGGCUCAACCUGGGAAUGGCGAUGGAUACUGGCUCGCUAGAGUGCGGUAGAGGAGAGUGGAAUUCCCGGUGUAGCGGUGAAAUGCGCAGAUAUCGGGAGGAACACCAGUGGCGAAGGCGACUUCCUGGCCUGUUCUUGACGCUGAGGCGCGAAAGCUAGGGUAGCAAACGGG